GAGUAGGGGUGGUGACACCUACAAGACCAAAUGUUUUACAUAUUCCCUUUAUAUCAGUUCUACAGGAACUGCUUCACAUAAACUGAGAGGAAUCUAGCAUAAAGAGAACAAGACAUGUCCCCAUAUAAACUAGAGUGCCACAAUGGAAAUAAGCGGACCACAAUGGAAAUACUAUAUCAGCCGACGUGUCAAUCCCCAGAAAUCCAACAUUUGGUCCCUGACACCAUCAACCCGGAGCCUAGCUGGUCCCUGACACCAUCAACCCAGAGCCUAGCUGGUCCUUGACACUGACAGACUUGAUGACUUGAAGUGUGGAAUAGUAUAUGAAAUCGGGUGUGUGAGCUGUAACAGAGUCUAUGUUGGAGAGACAAGAAGAAAACUAGAAACAAGGCUAGAGGAACACAAGAAAGAUGUAAAGGAAAAUGUAAGUGAGGGAGUCAACACCAGAUCCAAUCGCUCUAUGUCGACAGGAGUGUUACACAAAUCCACCAUCACAGAUCAUAUGUCAGAUAACAACCAUGUGCCAAAAUGGGACAAUGUAAAAGUGCUAACCAGUGAAAAUUAUUACAGUUAACGCAAAGUUUUAGAAUCCAUCUGGAUAAGAAGAAAGAAACACACCAUGAACAGAGAUGAAGGAGCACACAAGCUGUCCCAUGUGUAUGACGACAUUCUCAAACCCACCCUGGGGGGAAGGGGGACGAGAGGGACUAACAAGUCAUUAUCAAGACUGAGAUAAUUACCUGUCCACCUUCACCUGAACAGGUAAUUCAAUUGUGACCAAGUCUGUCAGAGAGAACAGACGAAACAGUCAACAGAGCAUUCAUCAAGAUCAGCGGAAUCAGCCAAAAUAAGUCCUAAUCAGUACAUGCAAAGCAGCUGCGAAGUCGUUCUACAGCGUCUACACGCUAUUGAUGAAUUACUCAGCUCUUCAUGCUACAACUGCUGUUUAUAAGCUGGGAUGAGAUGGAUGUGUUGUGGUCUGACUUAUCAAGAUACAACUGGGCGUUUCAGUGAUUUAUAAGCGUCUUUGAUUGUUGUAUAACAAUGGUCUUAUAUGGCAUCUUUCCUGGCAUGAUCUAUGUGAGUGUCCAGUAUUAGAGUUAAUAUUUUUGUCUUUGAAUAACACAACUGGAUGAAUCAUGAUUUAAAUUCUGACAUGCAGAGUUUUCAGUUUUGGCUAAUGGCUGUGUCUCCUGUACCUUGACCCUUAACUCUCGAAGAUGAAAGGAGAACCCAAAUGCAGCUCCUCACUAUAAUAUGAAAGCAUUGUAGGUCUGUGUAGUUUCUGAAA